AGGCGCGGAGCGGGCCGCGCGGCGGGCGAGGCGCCUGCGGGCGGGAGCGCAGCCCCCGCGGGGCCCCAGUUCAGGCAUUCGGACGGCGGGCGGGGUCGGGGCCCGGAGCCUGAGGCCCUGAGAGCCGCUCGCUCGGCGGCAGGAGUAAGUGGGACCAUCUGCUCCGCUCCUCCGAGCGACCUGCAUUCACAGGAUGCUUUGUUACCCAGUUCUGACUUUCCAAGAUAACAGAAAGGUACAACUCCAAGCCAAGUCCCACCCUCAGCACUGAGGAUGCAGAGGAGCAAGCCCCUCCAGUCGAGGAGUGUGCAGACCAGUGAGCGGGACAAGCUAUAUGCGCACUGCCUCCGAAUAGACUGUCUUCCGAUUCCUCCCACCCCCAGAAAGCGAAGCUGGGCACACAGACUGAUGCAUCUUUCUUGAACUGAUGUAAUGAAAGCCCUAUCGCUUUAUUUCAGGAAAGCCUUGAUCUUAU